GCCUAUAACACGACUCAGGAUAAGACCCAGAUGCAGACACAGGAGGCAAACAUUUAGAAUCGCAGAUGUUUAUUACAAAACAGGGGGCAGGCAAACGGCAGGUCCAGGACAGGCAGAGGUCGGUAAUCCAAGACAGCGUCAACAAGGGACAGAACGGCAGGCAGGGUCAGGGCAGGCAGAGGUCAGAACCGGGAGGACUAGAAAACAGAAACUUGAAAAAAUGGCAAAUGGGAGAACACGCUGGUAAGACAAGACGAGACCAACUAGCAACAGACCAACAGAAAACGCAGCCUCGCUAUUCAAGAGACAAGGGAAAUCCUGCCCAAUUCCCAUGACAUUGACAAAUCACCGUAAAACCUGGUGAAAAUGUAAUUCAUAUUCCAAGGUGAUUCAUUCUUCCUGCCUCCAAUUUCUAAUAUUAAUAUUAUUUGAGUUGCCUGUUGUUCUCUACCAAGCCAGCAAUCCUUAUCAGAGGCAGGAUAGGAGCCACUCGGAGUGACAGCAAACCAUAGCAUGCUGAUGGUGCUGGGGCUUUGUGUAAGCCGGGGGUAAACUUAAUUGAUUCUGUAAUAAACCUUCCAACAAUUCUCUCACUCUUUCAACGACGAGGCCUUGAAUCAAUCCCUCCUCAAUUGUUAAUGUAUUAAGCCCGUCAUAAAUAAAACAUAAUGGAAGGAAACAUAUUAUAUUACGUCCCUGUAAUGCCAAUGGUUGUGGAGUGUAAUUCCAAGGAUAGGCAAGAUUAAGCAUUGCAUACUGGCUGGUACUCCUGCUGUCUUUGUAUUGUUGGAAAGGAACUCGUCCUCUCUCUCUCUUUCUCUUUCUCUCUCAUAUUUCCCUCCCACCUCUAUCUGAGAAUGUCUAAAAUAAUCCUUAGCACAGCGUGCUUUGCUGGGAGGACGUCUCUCUCACUCUCUGGUGUGGUGCGGGAUUGUAUUUCUGCACCACUGCUAAAGCUUGAGGACUCUAGAAUCGCAGCGACAGUGAGAUGAAAUAAUGACCUGCCAACAGCAGAAAGCCCAUAUAAUAUGUUAAACACUCCAUGGAAGGAACUAGGCCAAAUGUUAUGUCAGAACUAUGUCCUGUAUACAGUGCAUUAUCAGCGCCCUUAAAUGAAUAACAUCCAAACAACCUCCAUUCAAAUCAACACAUAUAGUGUUGAACAAACACUCCUUGUUAUAAUAUACAGAAUGUACAGUAUAGCGGUGGAGUUAGACAAUUACAUUCAUGGUAGAAGUGGUCAAGAAAACUCCACAUCUAAUCUGGGAGAAAAAGCUCUCCUGUCAAUAGAGCUUUUCAGUUCUCAGCUGAAAUGAUUCAUAUUAUUGAUUGGUGUAGUAUCAGAUAUUGUUAUUCUCAAGGACUCCCUAGCCUGACGUUUCUGUUUUCAGGGCUGAAGCUCUAUGUGGCUCUCAUGAAAAAUGAAAUAGACCACCGGGAUGUGCAUCUUGUCAAGAUGUUCGACACGUCCUUCAAUCUCAAUGCCUUUCAGCUUUCUUCCCUCACACCCCUGUGACCUCUCUGGUCUCUUAAUACUAAAUUACACACUUUGUUUCUGGGCAAUAAAAUGUAAAUCAUUUCAUCAGGAGACAGAUACAGUAGAGAAACUCAAUUUGUCCUCGACCACUACACCUCAUUGAUUACAUUUUAAAAACAUAGCCUGAACAGACUUUGACAGACCUACCUAGAACUUAGUAGAGCAGUAGUGUGUUAAAGUUUCUAUCAAAUAUCCUCUUCUUUGACAUGUUCUUAAUAUGGAGGGAGUGUCAGGUCAUAACCUAUAUACUGUACUUCCACGACAGUCUAGAGGCUUCACCACUGGGGUAUAGAGAGCCUGCCUCCUGCAAACCCAAUGAAACCUGACUCUGCAAUUACAAGCUGCUGGAGUGGAACACGGCUAAUCCCUCCGAGCUUAUCGGAGUGCCAAUCAGGGACGGACAAGGCUACUCGCCCCCUGGAUCCAACACAGCCUUCCUAAUCCAUCAUGCACCAGCAGAGGUGAAAGGGAGAGGAGAGCAGAAGAGAGGAGGAGAGCCCUUAACUCUAUUCACUCAUCACACUCUCAGGGUCUCAGGGACUGUGUCCCCAAAUGACACCCUAUUUCCUUUUAUAGUGCACUACUUUUGACCAGGACCCAUAGGGAUCUGGUCAAAAGUAUGGAAUAGGGUGCUAUUUGGGACACAAGCAGGAUCUGGCCUGCUAUGCCACAGCUGUUGUCUUGAUGGUCGGUAGUCCUGAAAUGAGAACAUGAGUCACAAAUAUCAAGCAGUAAUGGAAAACGUCUGUCAGGAAUAACCAGUGACUGACUGUGAUUGUAGGGUGUCUGUUGGACUUUGUGGAUAUUGAGAAUGAGGAUGAUGAUACGGUUGGAACUCAGAUGUGAUCUCAGAAUUGGCUGCAUUUGCUCUUGACUGUUUGGAAGAUCAGUUCAAUAGCUUGUUUGCUUUACUGCAGAAUAGAAUAGCAUCUCUUUUCAAAUGCCGACUUUAACCUCAGUGGAACCAUUGCAAACAGUGCCUUGCAAAAGUAUUCACGCCCUUGGCAUUUUUCCUGUUUUGUUGCAUUACAACCUG